rnacentral:lncRNA from 1 species
UGCCUCCCCCCCCCCCCCCCCCCCCCCCCCCCCCCCCCCCCCUUUCUCCCCCCCUCCCCCUCCCCCCCCCCCCCCCCCCCCCCCCACCCCCCACACCCACCCCCACCCGCCCACCCCCCCCCCCCCCCCCCCCCCCCCCCCCCCCCCCCCCCCCCCCCCCCCCCCCCCCCCCCCCCCCCCCCCCCCCCCCCCCCCCCCCCCCCCCCCCCCCCCCCCCCCCCCCCCCCCCCCCCCCCCCCCCACACUCACACACACACACACACACACACACACACACACACACACACACACACACACACACACACACACACACACACACACACACACACAGAGGCACACACUGCCGCACACUGCCUGCACCUCCACCCCAC